AGGAGCGAUUGAAUCGGGGGCCAUUAACAGAUUAAAUCAUUACACGGAGUCAGAUCAGCACACAAAUAAUAUGAAUAAUAAACGUGGCCCGGGGGCAGCAGCUCCUGCCUGCCGUUUGUCUCAGCCAGAAGGAGGGCUGGUGACUGCCACCACCCGCGUGCUGCGGGGACAGGGGACACUGGGAAGAGCUCUGGGGUUGGGGACAAUGACACCAGAUGUGCCAGUGUGACCCUGCCCCUUUCUGCGCGUCCCUUUUGGGGCCCAUCAGCAUCCUGCUCACCCCAAUGAGGUCUCGCAGCCCCCCAGCCCCAGCAGCCCUGCAGGGACCCCCCCCCCAUCCUCACCCAGCCUUUCCUUCUCCCCCAAAUCUCCUUCCCCGCUGCAUUUCCUUCCCUUCCAGGUUCCCCUCUGGAGAAGGGGAGCAGCCACGUCCCUGCUCUGCUCCAAAGGGUUCAAAGGCAGUGCAGACACGUCAAUAAAAGGCUCCAAACAAUGGGAAAACGUCUUUUCUCCCCAACUUAAUUUCAUUCCCGUCACCAAAACCCCCGAGGAGUUGGAAACAAAGCCUGAGCAGCCUCUGCAUGGGCACGGGGAGGGGGUCGAGCCCUCCCUGGGCUGCCACAGGGUUAAUUCGCAUCUCAGCACGUCACAUUUAUUCUGCUGGCGAAUCCUUUCUUCCCUAAAUUCCUGCUUGCCCAGGAAGGCUGGAGAAAGUCUGAGCUGCUGCGACAACACCUGGGAAGGAGCAUUAUUAUGUGGUGUGACAAGGUUUGAUGAAUUCCUGUGUGCCUGGGGGAAGGGACUAAGGAGGAGUCAUUUGAUGCCACUAAUCAUGGCUGUGAUCCGGCACGCCGCGAUGUGUAAUGACAACGCUGAACAGGAAAAAUGGCACUCGGAUCCUCCGCUCUUCCCGCUCUAAUCUAUAUUUUACCACAUCUUUCUACCUAAUGAUACUUAUAAAUGUUAAUAAAUGACUACUUAGGCACUUCCUUUUUUUUUUCUUUUAAUUUAAUUUUUUUUGUGGCAGUGGGUGAUAAAAUAAUUCUGGGUUAAAAUAUCAGAAUGGGAAAAGGAAGUGAGGGGGUCAAGUGUUUCCCUGGUCAUUGGAAGACACUCACAUGGUGGGAAGUUCAGAGAGGCUUUCGCUGCUCAGAACUUGAUGGCCUCUGUGUUAAAAUAACAACUGUUACAAAAAGAAAAAAAGAAACUCUAAAAGAAACAAUUUUAAAAUGAAGUUUCCUCACUGCAGGAAGAAGAUCCUCCUGGCAUGGUGCCCAACACCUUCAGGAUGAAUUAUCGUGCCAUUCCUCACACUCCAACUCAUUUCAUCACAAAAUUAAAGAGAAUCUG
rnacentral:lncRNA from 1 species